rnacentral:rRNA from 1 species
GAUGAACGCUGGCGGCGUGCCUAAUACAUGCAAGUCGUGCGAACAGACGAUGAGCUUGCUCCUCGGACGUUAGCGGCGGACGUGUGAGUAACACGUGGAUAACCUACCUAUAAGACUGGGAUAACUUCGGGAAACCGGUGCUAAUACCGGAUAAUAUAUUGAACCGCAUGGUUCAAUAGUGAAGGACGGUUUUGCUGUCACUUAUAGAUAGAUCCGCGCCGCAUGAGCGAGUUGGUAAGGUAACGGCUUACCAAGGCAACGAUGCGUAGCCGACCUGAGGGGGGGAACGGCCACACUGGAAGUGAGACGCCGUACAGAGUCCUACGGGCGGCCGAAGUACGGACUGUACCGAAAUGGGCGAAAUCUUGCAGGAGCGGCGCCGCGUGAGUGCUGAAGGUCUUCGGAUCGUAAAACUCUGUUCUUAGGGAAGAACGAUUGUGUAAGUAACUAUGCACGUCUUGACGGUACCUAAUCAGAAAGCAACGGCUAACUACGUG